GGGUGAGUAACACGUGGGUAACCUGCCCAAGAGACUGGGAUAACACCUGGAAACAGAUGCUAAUACCGGAUAACAACACUAGACGCAUGUCUAGAGUUUGAAAGAUGGUUCUGCUAUCACUCUUGGAUGGACCUGCGGUGCAUUAGCUAGUUGGUAAGGUAACGGCUUACCAAGGCAAUGAUGCAUAGCCGAGUUGAGAGACUGACCGGCCACAUUGGGACUGAGACACGGCCCAAACUCCUACGGGAGGCAGCAGUAGGGAAUCUUCCACAAUGGACGAAAGUCUGAUGGAGCAACGCCGCGUGAGUGAAGAAGGGUUUCGGCUCGUAAAGCUCUGUUGGUAGUGAAGAAAGAUAGAGGUAGUAACUGGCCUUUAUUUGACGGUAAUUACUUAGAAAGUCACGGCUAACUACGUGCCAGCAGCCGCGGUAAUACGUAGGUGGCAAGCGUUGUCCGGAUUUAUUGGGCGUAAAGCGAGUGCAGGCGGUUCAAUAAGUCUGAUGUGAAAGCCUUCGGCUCAACCGGAGAAUUGCAUCAGAAACUGUUGAACUUGAGUGCAGAAGAGGAGAGUGGAACUCCAUGUGUAGCGGUGGAAUGCGUAGAUAUAUGGAAGAACACCAGUGGCGAAGGCGGCUCUCUGGUCUGCAACUGACGCUGAGGCUCGAAAGCAUGGGUAGCGAACAGGAUUAGAUACCCUGGUAGUCCAUGCCGUAAACGAU
rnacentral:rRNA from 1 species